rnacentral:rRNA from 1 species
ACACUCCUGCGGGAGGCAGCAGUGGGGAAUCUUGCGCAAUGGGCGAAAGCCUGACGCAGCCAUGCCGCGUGAAUGAUGAAGGUCUUAGGAUUGUAAAAUUCUUUCACCGGGGACGAUAAUGACGGUACCCGGAGAAGAAGCCCCGGCUAACUUCGUGCCAGCAGCCGCGGUAAUACGAAGGGGGCUAGCGUUGCUCGGAAUUACUGGGCGUAAAGGGAGCGUAGGCGGACAUUUAAGUCAGGGGUGAAAUCCCGGGGCUCAACCUCGGAAUUGCCUUUGAUACUGGGUGUCUUGAGUAUGAGAGAGGUGUGUGGAACUCCGAGUGUAGAGGUGAAAUUCGUAGAUAUUCGGAAGAACACCAGUGGCGAAGGCGACACACUGGCUCAUUACUGACGCUGAGGCUCGAAAGCGUGGGGAGCAAACAGGAUUAGAAACCCCAGUAGUCCCA